ACAACCACCGGCCUUUUGGCUCGGAGUCAAGUGUAGUAUCUGUUCUUAUCGGUUUAAUAUCGUCGUCCCCAUCAGGAACUACAUAUUAAAUGAUUUUUGAACAGGGAAGUAGAAAUAAACUUUACUCCGUCCAACUCCAUAUGUCGACCAGUAUUGCACGUACCUCGUCUUUCUUUCU
rnacentral:snRNA from 1 species